rnacentral:pre_miRNA from 1 species
AGGGAAAAGCUGUGACGAUUGUGCGAAUCUAAGAAUUGCAUAAGCGUAUGGCUUUUCCCCUG